GACGAACGCUGGCGGCGCGCCUAACACAUGCAAGUCGAACGGAGCUUAAAGAGCUUGCUUUUUAAGCUUAGUGGCGAACGGGUGAGUAACGCGUGAGUAACCUGCCCUGGAGUGGGGGACAACAGUUGGAAACGACUGCUAAUACCGCAUAAGCCCACGGAUCCGCAUGGAUCUGCGGGAAAAGGAUUUAUUCGCUCUAGGAUGGACUCGCGUCCAAUUAGCUAGUUGGUGAGGUAACGGCCCACCAAGGCGACGAUUGGUAGCCGGACUGGGAGGUUGAACGGCAACAUUGGGACUGAGACACGGCCCAGACUCCUACGGGAGGCAGCAGUGGGGGAUAUUGCACAAUGGGGGAAACCCUGAUGCAGCGACGCCGCGUGGAGGAAGAAGGUUUUCGGAUUGUAAACUCCUGUCGUUAGGGACGAUAAUGACGGUACCUAACAAGAAAGCACCGGCUAACUACGUGCCAGCCGCCGCCGUAA
rnacentral:rRNA from 1 species